CCUACGGGUGGCAGCAGUCGAGAAUCAUUCACAAUGGGGGAAACCCUGAUGGUGCGACGCCGCGUGGGGGAAUGAAGGUCUUCGGAUUGUAAACCCCUGUCAUGUGGGAGCAAAUUAAAAAGAUAGUACCACAAGAGGAAGAUACGGCUAACUCUGUGCCAGCAGCCGCGGUAAUACGGAGGUCUCAAGCGUUGUUCGGAAUCACUGGGCGUAAAGCGGGCGUAGACUGCUACGUAAGUCGUGUGUGAAAGGCGCGGGCUCAACCCGCGGACGGCACAUGAUACUGAGAGACUAGAGUAAAGGAGGGGGAACCGGAAUUCCUGGUGUAGCAGUGAAAUGCGUAGAUAUCGGGAGGAACACUAGUGGCGAAGGCGGGUUACUGGACAUUAACUGACGCUGAGGCACGAAGGCCAGGGGAGCGAAAGGGAUUAGAUACCCGAGUAGUC
rnacentral:rRNA from 1 species